rnacentral:lncRNA from 1 species
CCACCAGAUAAUUGAUGCAGGAGAAACACCCUUUGGAGGGGCUGUUAAUUACUUCAUGGUUUUCAUGCUGAGAUAGAAAUGAUGAGAUUUGGC